CUCGAUCAUAAAGUUUUUCGAAAUUUUAAUUAAGUUUCUACAAUCUUUUUCCUUUGUCGCGCGACCUUUAAAUUUCAAAAACUUCCACCGUAUCAUUCUAUUUUGUGAUUGAAGUUCUGCUACGAACGCGUUUCAAAAAACGAAGUUAUUCAGGAUUCGUUCGGGUAUAUUCGUCUAUCUUCGCUGAAAUUGUAUUGACCCACAAAUUACCUCCCUUGCUUGUCGACACGCGGUUAGAUGGACAUGCUGAUUUGUAUUUCGGCGCGAAUUUCUUAUAAAAUCUUUUUUUUUCGUGAUGAAUGAAUG